rnacentral:misc_RNA from 1 species
UACUGGCAGGAUCAACCAGGUAGCAUCUUUUUGCUGCCGGAACCGCAUGAUUGAGAGGACAAUUAUUAUCCUCCCAUCAACACAGGGCACGUCAGGCUUUCGUAAGGGACAAUUGAUUCGGGCAAAAAGGGACAUAGUCCCCAACCGACGUUUGCUUCUACAUACAAGACUUCGAGAACCCCCUGGGCAUCCAAUGAAUGCUAGCUUAAUAAGCAAAAGCAAGAGUGGAUGUCCAUGGGAUCUUAAUGGUCUACGUCGCACAAAACCUUUUAGCACGAGAUAGAGUAUGGAUCAUGGGACUAGAGAAUUCCGUCAAAAAUAGGUAUGCUGCACAGGGGGCCAAGGCAGUCCAAGGUAAAAGAUUUAGCACUCGAACAGAAUUGAACAGGUGUGAACCAGCGAUUGUCGCUGCCAAGGCAGGGAACCAACCAACCGGAACAU